rnacentral:rRNA from 1 species
GACGAACGCUGGCGGCGCGCCUAACACAUGCAAGUCGAACGAGCAAGAGAGAGCUUGCUUUCUCGAGCGAGUGGCGAACGGGUGAGUAACGCGUGAGGAACCUGCCUCAAAGAGGGGGACAACAGUUGGAAACGACUGCUAAUACCGCAUAAGCCCACGACCCGGCAUCGGGUAGAGGGAAAAGGAGCAAUCCGCUUUGAGAUGGCCUCGCGUCCGAUUAGCUAGUUGGUGAGGUAACGGCCCACCAAGGCGACGAUCGGUAGCCGGACUGAGAGGUUGAACGGCCACAUUGGGACUGAGACACGGCCCAGACUCCUACGGGAGGCAGCAGUGGGGAAUAUUGCACAAUGGGGGAAACCCUGAUGCAGCGACGCCGCGUGGAGGAAGAAGGUCUUCGGAUUGUAAACUCCUGUUGUUGAGGAAGAUAAUGACGGUACUCAACAAGGAAGUGACGGCUAACUACGUG